UGGUANUGGACGCAGUCUGAACCAGCCAUGCCGCGUGAAGGAUGAAGGCCCUCUGGGUUGUAAACUUCUUUUAUAGGGGACGAAAAAAGGGAAUUCUUUCUCACUUGACGGUACCCUAGGAAUAAGCACCGGCUAACUCCGUGCCAGCAGCCGCGGUAAUACGGAGGGUGCAAGCGUUAUCCGGAUUUACUGGGUUUAAAGGGUGCGUAGGUGGGCCUGUAAGUCAGUGGUGAAAUCUCCGGGCUUAACUCGGAAACUGCCAUUGAUACUAUAGGCCUUGAAUUAUCUGGAGGUGAGCGGAAUAUGUCAUGUAGCGGUGAAAUGCUUAGAGAUGACAUAGAACACCCAUUGCGAAGGCAGCUCACUACGGAUCGAUUGACACUGAGGCACGAAAGCGUGGGGAUCAAACAGGAUUAGAUACCCUGGUAGUCCACGCCCUAAACGGUGCACGUUUGCCGUAAGCGGAAUCGACCCCGCUUGUGGCGUAGUUAACACGAUAAACGUGCCGCCUGGGAAGUACGACCGCAAGGUUGAAACUCAAAAGAAUUGACGGA
rnacentral:rRNA from 1 species